AUCCAGCCGACGAGCCCAAAACAGGACGAAAGGAGCGUCCUCGAU
rfam:Schistosoma haematobium scaffold148_24, whole genome shotgun sequence.